rnacentral:lncRNA from 1 species
AAAGGAUCUCUUAUGCAUCUUAGAGAUAUCUCCUACACCUUCAUGGAAGGUUCUUAUUGGCAUAGCACUUAAAUGAUACAUGUCUACCCAAAUUGGGAGCAAGGCUGAGGAGUCUAAUUGAGCUUGGUGUCCCUUAAUGGUGAGCUUGGCCUCCCAAACCACCAAGUAUAUGGGAUGAUUUUAGGGUUCUAAUUUGGUGAGUAGAGUUGGAGGUUUGCCAAGACAAGUCGACCCAAACAUUGUUAAACUCAUUUUGCUCAAAUUAAGAGAGUGAGACUACUUUGCCAGCUAUAUGUCACUAUCUAUGAAUGCUUAUCCAAAACAUCAACAAGGAUACAUUACUCUUAUUAAUUGAUGCAAACAUGGCACCACCUGGUUGGUCCAUGUACUUGUGCCAAAAUCUCAUUGGUUUGUGAUGUAGCACUAAGCAAACUCUUUUUCAUAGAACCUGUCACACACACACAAGAUGUGAAAGGUGCAGUACUAAGUCUCUACUCAGCCAGCCUUAACCCAAUGCAACAAAGGUAACACAACAAACAUAACCCAACAAGAUAUAGUAGAACUCUUCCCAACUUGUUUACUCCUCAAGAAUUACAAGAUAACAAAAUUUGGUUAAGUGUCCCCACAGAUUUUUCUACACCCAAGUUAAUAGAACUGAAAAUCCCACCAGUCUCAUACACCUCACUGUGUAUGCCUAUUUUUCCUUUUUCUUUUUUUAAUAUCUUAGGCAAUAGAAGAACCCCUCUUAUUUAUAUCCAGAGGCUACACCCUCUGUUUAAUUUGAUUUGAAUUCAAAUCUAGCAGUUGGCAGUUAUAAAAACAUCCAGCUGACCACACCCUUUUCCCAAGAGGUGCAUCUUCAUGCCACACAGAGCCAACACCAAGCCUUCUGAUGCAUUUCUCUAAGCCAUCUGCAGCCACCAGUGGUGUCUCUUCCCCAAGAGGUGCCACAUAACUACCCUUGCAACCCAUCAAAUAGCCCCUCUGAUGGUGUCAGCCAUUUAGCCUUGUCCAACCCAACUUGUUACAAGUCCACCCCUAUCAAUGCUUUGGCCCGUGUGUGCAAGUCAGCCCACCCAUGCAUGUCAUCCACCAAUCAUGCAUGCUAGCUCGUCUUUGCAUAUAUCUUUGUAACGACUCGCACCCAACCAUAUAGGUAUUGUCCACUCUAGGCUCAAAGGGGCCCUCAUGGUUUUAAAACAUGUCUACAAGGUUAAGAGAAGCUCAUAUUCCUAUAGCAUCAGGAACUUUCUCCCUUAUCCGAUGUGAGACAGCACAAGCACCCCCUCAUGCAGAUAUAACAUCCCCGUUGUAUCCUAUGGGAUUAUAGGGCCAAAUAGACAAACACCCCUCACAAGGCCAAACAAACCCCCACACCAAGGUCAAUGAUUGACUCUGAUACCAUUUGUAAUAACCCACACCCAACCAUGUAGGUAUUGUCUACUCUAAGCUCAAAGGGGCACUCACAAUUCUGAAACGCGUUUACAAGAUUAAGAGGAGUCCAUAUUUAUAUAAUCUCAUAAACUUUCUCCCCUAUUUUAUGUGGGAUAGCACACAACUCAUCCAAUUGCACCCAUGUGCCUCAACCCAUUACUUGACACCAUACAUCAAUGUGCCUCAGCCCAACAUGUGAUGCUCAUGCAGCAAGCUACCUCCUUGUGCCCCUGGCACAUUAGAGAUUGUUGCCCAUGUCUUCAACGCCCAUGGGACAGCCCCUUGCAAGGCCCUACCACACCUUACAAGCCACAAGAGUCACCAUACCAUGCCCAUGUCAUGCCCCUUGCUCUUACCUUGCAUCAACCAUGCAUCAACAUGAAUAUGUCAACUUGUGUUGUUGCCACAACACCAUCAAGUCAUCUCCUUGUGCCCUUGGCACAUUGAAGUUAGCUGCCCAUGUCUAGACACCCAUGGGUCAAGCCUUGCCUCACCUUGCAAGCCACAAGAGUUAGCAUAGCACCCCUAUGUCAUGCCUCACCCUCUUGUCAUGCAUUAGCCACCACCAUGUCUAAGUUAGCUUUGUUGUUGCAACAGCACCAUGCCACAUCCAAGUCCCAUCUUAAUGCAGCAACAAGUCAUGACUUUGCACCCAUGGCCUGCCAUCUCCACACACAAGACAUUACGGCCUUUUGCUAAGCCACCUCAUUACACAAGGCAUUGCACUCUUGAGCUACCAUCAAGAGGGGUGACCACAGAAUGUCCUUGUGCCAUGUCAGCCACAGAUUGCACACUACCACAUGUUGUUGAACCCAUGUGUGAGUGCUAGCAGAGCUGACCCGAGUGUCUUGCCCAUGUCUGAGGUCUCACAUCACGUCCCCUAGGUGUGGCCAAGCCUAAGCAACAUAGCCAUCCUCGAGCCAUUCUCCACCUCUCCUUGCUCCCUUCUAUAGAGCAUUUUAAGCUUUUUUCAGGAGACAUCAAGGGUGCUUGAGGAGGCAUAAUGAUUUUUCAUUAGUUCACAAAAAUUCGAAAAAUCACAAUUCCACUUAGACUCCCUUUUGAAGGUUCCUCUCCAAAGGAAAAAUACCGACAUGGCGCAAAUUUUGAGGCUAAGUCAAGCCCUGUCACACAUGUUGCCUUGUUGUGCAUCAAGUGCAGCAAUGGCCAUGUCAUGUGUGCCAAUGGUUUUUUCACGUGCAGCAAUGGCUGUGUCGUGUGCAGCAGCCCACUAUGCUGUGUGUGGCACAGCCUGUGUCGGAUGCUGGUGGUGUGCAGCAAUGUGCUAAGCCACGUGCUGCCUGACACCGCAUCGUGCCAACAACACCUGAGUUGCACCAUCAGUCACCGACAGCCCACUCAUUUGAUGCAUUAAACCUUUGCUUCCACCUUGCCUCAUUCUCCUGAGACCCUCAUAGGUGCAAGGUGUGUACCCAUGAGGUCCUUGGCAUCAUGUCAUCUAAAUCAAGGGACUAACAGAACCCUUAUAAAUAGGUCUAAAGACUCAUUGUUUGAAAGGAUCAAAAUUUUUGGCUUUAUGAAACUGAUUCUCUCCUUUCAAAAGCCUAUUGAUGACCACUCCCAUUCUUUCCAACCUUUCUCUCACCUCUCACUUUGCUUUACUUUUCCCUAGAACCCCCACACAGCAAUAUCCAUAUAUAGGAAAGACAAGGAUUUUGGUUUCUCUUAAGUUCAACUUCCAACCUUUUGCUUCUUUGUUGUUGUUCAAUGAUACAUAGACACUUUAGUUUCAGCCAAAAUACCCAUGUCGACAAGUGGACACGAGUGUGGAUGUGAGAUUUGUGCCUCAUACGAAUAUGUUGCAUCAAAUACAACUAUUUAGCUACAUUAUCUCUUUCUUUAAUUCUUUUAAAAUUAUGUUUACAAUUGUUUCAUACAUUUAUUUGUCUCUUUCUUUAUUUUUUAAAAAUUAUACUAGAUAAUAAUAUAAAAUAAAAAAUUAAAAUUAAUUUCUAAACUCUUGUAAUAAAAAAGUAUAGAAUUUUUAAAUUAAUUUCUAACUCUUGUAACCAAAGUGUUUUAUCUCUUUCUUAAUUUUUUAAAAUUAUAAUAAAAUGUAACAAUUAAUAUCAUAUAAAAUUUAAAGAUAAAAUAUAACAAUUAAUAGCAUAAAAAAUAUAAAGACAAGUAUCAAAGUUAAUAUCUUAAAAAAUAUGGAGAUAAAUUAUAAUCAUUAAUAUAAAAAAUCAAAAUUUUUGAAUGAUAAGAAAUUAAAUAUGAAUUAGUAGCAUCCUAUUAAAAUAAAAGACAUAAUAAACGAGUUCUUCAUGUACAAUUAGUAGUAACAUUGAAGCAAAAUAAGCUUAGCAUCUUAUUAAAAUAGAAAAAACAUAUAACAAACAAGUUCUUCAUAUACAAUUAGCAGUAAUAUCAAAGUAAAAUACGUUUAGCAUCUUAUUAAAAUAGAAAAUAUAUAAUAAAUAUAUCUUCCAAUUACAAUUAACCAUGUAGUAUCGAAGUUGACUUAUUUUACUAUAUUUAAAUUUACUAUUAAUUUAUGUUUAAUUAAUGUUGUAUCCAAAUGCCCGCACCUAUAGUUGAGAUCCUUCUGAACUGAAUCCUCGUGUCCUAAGAUUUUGGAAUGCUAAGGAUCCAAAAACUAGACGCAUACGCACACCAGCACCUAACACUCAACACCUUGACACCCAUACCUGAACCCAUGUAACAUAGCAAUUAUCCACUAGUAAUGAUUUUCCUUGUAUCACCCACUUCUAAUUGUCGUUGAUAGAGUUUCAAAAACUAUUCAUUAUUAUUUUUUUCCUUGUGGUACCUCUUUGCAGCAACUUCUGAUAUCUUCCAUUCUUGACCACUUCCAUGCACCACCACAAAUCCACCUUCUCUCAUCACCUCUCCCAUUCUCCUAUUUCUCUCCGUAAUUGAAUGAUGAAUUUCGAGUUCACCAACCAGGCUUCAACACUCAGAAAAAAAUCUGUCUCAGCUUAGUUGCUCCAUUGAUAGAACAGAAUAUAUAGAAUAAAGUAACUGAAAGAAAACAAACGGUCAGUAAUUUAUUUACUUUUGUUGGUAGAGUCUAGAAGUAAAGAUGUCAUUUUGGGUUUUUAAUACAUUAGUUUAAUGCUUGUUUUAGACCCAUCAAACAUGACACUGAAGAAUCCAAACCAUGUUCUAGCACAUGCAAAUUCAAAAUCCCCAUGGCAUUUUGAAUCUCCAUUGCAUUUGAGAUCCCUCGUCUAAAUGGCUCAUUUGUAUACUUCUCCAUAAUCUCCAGUUUUUCCUCUUCUAAUUUUAGAACCCCACCUUUCACACCCUAAAUGUUAAGUUAGUCCAACCUACAUAUACUUUAGCUAUAAGGUCAACAUAUUCCAAGAAACUAAUCUCAUUCUCAUGGAGAACUCAAAGCUAACCUGAAAGACAGAUUAGGAUUAGUUCCUUUCUUUCAUAAAGAGGGCUGGAGUUGCUUCCACAUUCCAGAAUAACUUAUGUUUGCUUUCAACAUUCUGAAGAAAAGGUUUGCUUCCAUAUUCCAGGAAAUUAGCUUUGAAUAUCCUGAGAACCGGUUUCCUUCCUCAAUCUGAAAAUAGGCUGACCGUAAACCCACUUCCCAAAUUUAUCUUUGAAAACCCAAUUUAUAUUGUCUAUAAACAAAAAUCAAGGAUUUCAUAAUGAUUUCUUACUGAGAAAGGAAAAGAACUUCAUAAGGGAACUUUAGAGCUUUUCUCUGCCUUGUUCUUGCACUCACUUGGUAGAAGAAUAAGGAAAAAGGAAAUGAGGAAGUGUCAUUGACCAGAGAAAGCUUCAGACAGUCAACUAAAAAGAUAGAAUUUAAUUAAAGAAGAAAAUAGAAAUUGAGGAGGUCCCAGAAUGAGAAGGGAAAGAAAAAUAGGAAGGUAUUAAAGAACAUGGAGAGACACCAUGAAAUAAACACUAGUAGACUCAAAGGGAAAAAGAAAAGGGCAGUCAUAAAGUAUUGAAGAAAAGGUAGAAAGUAUUGAAGAAAAGGAUGAAAUAGUUAAGGGAAAUGGUUUUCUUAUGUUUGCAAACCAUGAGAAAAGGUAAGGAAAAAUAGGGCAGAAAAUGCUAACACAUUUUGCUCCCCAUUUCCUCAAAAAUAGGUAAGGAAAAUUGGGGAAAGUGCAUUACUUAAACUUAAUUUCUCUCUCAACUUUUCAAUGGGCAAGCAAACAUAAGAAAAAUUUUAUAAUUUUUCUUUGCUUUUUUUUUUUUCUUCUACUUUUUCUCUAUUUUCUUUCCUUCAACCUUUUGGAAACCAAACAUGACAAAAAAAGUAAGUUUAUUAGGGGAAAAAAGUGAGUUUUCUCUUUACUUAACAUAGAAAAUUAUUCUUAUGUUCUUAUUGAAAUGACAAGAAGAAAGAAAAAAAAGGUUCAAACAAACACACUUCCAAUGUUUAAAAAAUAGGUGAGAACUACAAUAAUUUUCUUCCUUUAUUGAGAUAUAAAUAGGCAAUCUGAAUUACUUUCUGGAUGCAAACCUAACGAUAGGUUUUUCUUUCUUUUAGUAUAUUCUACAUAAUGGUUGGAUUUGCUAAAAAUAUUAUACUCUUCUUUUGACUCGUUUAAUCAAUCUAAAUGCUUAGAUUCUAUGACACUUUGAUUUUUUUUUUUUCUUUGGCACUUUGAGUUCAAAUUUUCAAUUCAAAUUAUUAUACAUAUAUAGAAAAGUUUGAAGUGUAAAGAUAGUUUUUGCAAAGCAUGGCUACAAGAAAGUAGCAAGUUAGGCUCAAUGGAGCAUACUUAGGAUUGAAAUUGUAUUAAAUAGUGUUUUGCUACUAGUUUAAUUACUCAUAAACUAGAUAGUCGAUGUUCCGUAGUUUUUAGCAAAUAAAUUAUUUUUUAGCAAGUAACAAAUGGUAUUACAACAAGUAUCUAAGAUUACUAUUCAUGGUAUUGUCACAAAUUACCUUUCACAUUACUAUAGCAUGGUGCCAUUCAUGCUACUGCAGCAAUGAGUUAUCAUUAGGGUUUUUUUAUUCUUUGUCCUUUUUGAUAAUUUUCUUGAGCUUCUAAUUGUUUUUAGUUUCUUGGACUAUAAACAAAAUGCUCAAAAUAACACAAGAAAGUCAUAAAUAAUGAAACCGAUCAUCCAAAGGGCAACAGGAAGCUAUCAUACUACAUAAUAUUUGCUUUCAGGAAAUCAAGAAAGUUAGCAAUACCUGCUCUCCUUUUUUAUAAUUUUUCCUAGCAUAGAAGCAAUAUGCAGCAAGAUCUUCCUUGUAGCCCCCAUCUGUUAACCUCUGGGAGAGAACAUCAUCUUGCUCUGCAUCUGAAUUGCUAGUAGCAUCCUUAUUCCAGAAAGAACUAUCUUGCAAGGAAGAUUCAUUUCUUGAACCCUUCAAAUCUUCCCAGCCACAUGGUUCUUCUCCAGGGGCAGCAUAAUUGUAGAAGUCCCCAACAGGGCAUAAACAUCCAGCGUCAUCCCAUGGUAUAUGCAUCGUGCGUGAGGAUACCUUCAAGCAUAUUGAAGUCCAAAUGUUUUUACUAUUGCCAGUAAGAAACAGCAUAAAAAGAGAGAAACACAAGUGUAGAAUGGUACAUUGUUUGUGAGGAUAUCCUCAAGCACAGUGGAAUUUUGAAUGUCUUAUUAUUGCAACUAAGAAAAGAGUUUGAAACGAAGAGGAAAGAGAAUUACUAUAGAAUGUAUAAUUCUUGCAAGAGGUACACAAAUAUGACUUCUCUUUGUGCAACACACUGAAUUCGUGACACACAACUCAUCAGAUAAAGAAUUUUUUUUUUUUUGAUAAUAAACAAGAUAUGCAUUAGAAAAAGCUAAACGCCACAAAGCAUACAGGGAGUAUACAAGACAGCUACAGCCUCAAAAAGAGAAAAAGGACCAAAAAGAACUACCUCCCCUUAAGUGGAAGCUAUCCACUCCAAAAAACCUAUAAGGAAGAAAGACUCCUCACCUAAAUACACUUUGGCCCAAUUCCAUAAGUUACAGACAAAAGAAUUCUUUAAUUUCUGAAUAUUCAAUGCACCCCCCCUAAAGGCUAACCUAUUCCUCUCCUUCCAAACAGUCCAAAAAAUAUACAACGGAAUGGAUUUCCAAAUCUUUUUCCUUUUCUUCCCUACAAAUGAACCCCUCCAAGAGAUUAAAGCCUCCUUUACAGUUUCUGGGAAGACCCACUUAAUAUCUAUCAACCCAAAAAUAAUAUCCCAUAGGGCUCUAGUCACUAUACAGUGUAAAAGAAUAUGAUUUACAUUCUCUUCUUCACAACCACACAAAAAACAACAAUUUGGGAGUUGCACCCCUCUUAUCUAGAGUCUAUCCAGAGUGAGCACCUUCCCCCACGUAGCCUCCCAAGCAAAAAAGCAGACUUUAGUUGGCACCCUAUCCACUCAUAUUCUCCUUGCGGGAAACACUAUGGCAUUAGGCUUGUCCAACAGCCUGUAAGCUUCUUUAACCCUGAAAAGACCAUUUCUUCCCUGCCUCCACUUAACUGAAUCAUCCUCCAGGGACGGCCUAUGACCCCUCAAAGUAUGGAGCAAAUCACCAACCAUAUCCAUCUCCCAAUCAUUGAAGUCCCUCACAAAAACAAGAUUCCAAUCUCCUUGGCCCGAAUCUUGGUCCCACAUCUCCUCAAUCGUAGCAUCCCUAUGCGCGACAAGGACAAAAAGAUGAUUGAAGCAUUAGGACAACGGAGUGUCAGUGCACCAACUAUCUUUCCAAAAUUUGAUUUUGGAACCCUUCCCAACUAGAAAAGCCAAAUUUUCCCAGCACCAUUCAAAUUCUUUCAUAAUCUCCUUCCAGACCCCUACUCCAGCCGCCCCACUAGCCUUCUUUGACCUCCAACCAUAUUCCUCUUGCCCAUAUUUCGUAGUAAUCACUUGUUUCCAAAGGUUAUCCUUUCACAAGCAAACCUCCAAGUACACUUGCCCAGCAAGGCUCUAUUCAGAGUGGCUAUUCUCCUUAGUCCUAGCCCUCCAUUGAGUUUUUCUGUACAGACCACAUCCCAUUUAACUAGAUGAACUUUUCCCUCCAAGUUUCCUCCCCCCCAUAGAAAAUCUCUUUGGGUUUUCUCCACUCUUUUAGCAACAGACUUGGGCAUUCAGAAGAUAGACAUUUGGUAAAUUGGCAUGCUAGCCAAGGUACUUUUUAUGAGAGUGAUCCUCCCCCCUUUGGAGAUGUACUGUCUUUUCCAAAGCGCAAGUCUCCUCCUGACCCUCUCUUCCACUCCAUCCCACAUAGAAGUAGCCCUAUUGGGGACCCCUAAGGGGAGACCCAAAUAGUGAGAGGGCAGAGACCCCACCCUGCACCCUAGCUCAGCUGUCAUCUCAAGAAUCUCCUCCACUUCUCCAACUGGAAUGAUUUCGCUUUUGGCUAGAUUAAUUCGAAGACCCGAAGCCACUUCAAACCAAAAGAGAAUCCAGCUUAGAUGAGAAACUUGCUCUUUGCUCGCCUCACAAAACACAAUUGUGUCAUCAGCAAAAAAUAGGUGGGAGAUAUUCAAGGAAGUUCUACUAUCACCUCGAAUGUUGCAUCCUGAUAGAAAUCCCCCCUCCACCGCUCUCCUGAUAAGGACGUCCAGAAUCUCCAUUCCCAUAACAAAGAGGUAAGGGGAUAGAGGAUCCCCUUGACGAAGCCCUCUAGUGCUAGGGAAAAACCCAGUUGGCACUCCAUUAACAAGAAUAGAGAAUUUAGCAGAAGACACACAGCUCCACAUCCAAUCCACCCACUUGGUCCCAAAGCCCAUUUUUUGAAGGACCUUCAUUAAGAAAUUCCAAUUGAUGCUGUCAUAAGCUUUUUCUAUACCCAAUUUGCAAAUAAGGCCCUUUUCUUCUCUUCUGCCACGAAUCUAUCACCUCAUUAGCAAUUAAGGACGCAUCCAAAAUUUGUCUUCCCAUUACAAAGGCAUUCUGAGCAAUAGAGACUACCUUACCAAUCACUUUUUUGAGCCUAUUAGCUAAGACUUUAGCCAAAAGUUUAUAGAGCCCCCCCAACAGACUGAUAGGUCUAAAGUCUCCCUGAUCCUCAACCCCGCUUUUCUUAGGUAUCAACACCAAAAAAGUAUUGUUGAGGCUCUUAACAAAGGAAUUAUGCUCAUGAAAUUCUUUAAACAUCUCCAUGAUCUCCUCUUUGGUAAAAUAUCAUGCGUUUUGCCAGAAGGUUACAGUAAAACCAUUCAGGCUAGGGGCUUUAUCCUCAUUCAUCUCCAUCAACGCCGAGUGAAUCUCAAUCUCUGCAAAUGGGAUUUCCAGACUCUCUGCUUCUUGCUGGCUGAUGCAACCCACCUGAAUUCUACCAAUAUCCACCUGCCAAACCAUAUCUUCAAAAAGCAUCUGCUGAAACGAAUUCACAACUCCUUCUCUCACCUCCUGCUCCUCUACUAGCCACUCCCCAUUAACCUUAAUUCUGUCCAUAGCGUUGUUUCUUCAAUGAGCACUUGCCAUUCUAUAGAAAAACCCCGUGUUUCUAUCCCCCUCCCUUAACCAAAUCUCCCUUGAGUGUUGUCUCCAAUGGNNNNNNNNNNNNNNNNNNNNNNNNNNNNNNNNNNNNNNNNNNNNNNNNNNNNNNNNNNNNNNNNNNNNNNNNNNNNNNNNNNNNNNNNNNNNNNNNNNNNNNNNNNNNNNNNNNNNNNNNNNNNNNNNNNNNNNNNNNNNNNNNNNNNNNNNNNNNNNNNNNNNNNNNNNNNNNNNNNNNNNNNNNNNNNNNNNNNNNNNNNNNNNNNNNNNNNNNNNNNNNNNNNNNNNNNNNNNNNNNNNNNNNNNNNNNNNNNNNNNNNNNNNNNNNNNNNNNNNNNNNNNNNNNNNNNNNNNNNNNNNNNNNNNNNNNNNNNNNNNNNNNNNNNNNNNNNNNNNNNNNNNNNNNNNNNNNNNNNNNNNNNNNNNNNNNNNNNNNNNNNNNNNNNNNNNNNNNNNNNNNNNNNNNNNNNNNNNNNNNNNNNNNNNNNNNNNNNNNNNNNNNNNNNNNNNNNNNNNNNNNNNNNNNNNNNNNNNNNNNNNNNNNNNNNNNNNNNNNNNNNNNNNNNNNNNNNNNNNNNNNNNNNNNNNNNNNNNNNNNNNNNNNNNNNNNNNNNNNNNNNNNNNNNNNNNNNNNNNNNNNNNNNNNNNNNNNNNNNNNNNNNNNNNNNNNNNNNNNNNNNNNNNNNNNNNNNNNNNNNNNNNNNNNNNNNNNNNNNNNNNNNNNNNNNNNNNNNNNNNNNNNNNNNNNNNNNNNNNNNNNNNNNNNNNNNNNNNNNNNNNNNNNNNNNNNNNNNNNNNNNNNNNNNNNNNNNNNNNNNNNNNNNNNNNNNNNNNNNNNNNNNNNNNNNNNNNNNNNNNNNNNNNNNNNNNNNNNNNNNNNNNNNNNNNNNNNNNNNNNNNNNNNNNNNNNNNNNNNNNNNNNNNNNNNNNNNNNNNNNNNNNNNNNNNNNNNNNNNNNNNNNNNNNNNNNNNNNNNNNNNNNNNNNNNNNNNNNNNNNNNNNNNNNNNNNNNNNNNNNNNNNNNNNNNNNNNNNNNNNNNNNNNNNNNNNNNNNNNNNNNNNNNNNNNNNNNNNNNNNNNNNNNNNNNNNNNNNNNNNNNNNNNNNNNNNNNNNNNNNNNNNNNNNNNNNNNNNNNNNNNNNNNNNNNNNNNNNNNNNNNNNNNNNNNNNNNNNNNNNNNNNNNNNNNNNNNNNNNNNNNNNNNNNNNNNNNNNNNNNNNNNNNNNNNNNNNNNNNNNNNNNNNNNNNNNNNNNNNNNNNNNNNNNNNNNNNNNNNNNNNNNNNNNNNNNNNNNNNNNNNNNNNNNNNNNNNNNNNNNNNNNNNNNNNNNNNNNNNNNNNNNNNNNNNNNNNNNNNNNNNNNNNNNNNNNNNNNNNNNNNNNNNNNNNNNNNNNNNNNNNNNNNNNNNNNNNNNNNNNNNNNNNNNNNNNNNNNNNNNNNNNNNNNNNNNNNNNNNNNNNNNNNNNNNNNNNNNNNNNNNNNNNNNNNNNNNNNNNNNNNNNNNNNNNNNNNNNNNNNNNNNNNNNNNNNNNNNNNNNNNNNNNNNNNNAUUCCCUUUGCCCUGAGAAGGACCUUUCUGCUUAUUCCCCCCCUCAUAAUUGACAGAACAUUCCAACCUCUUUAGUUCCCUUUCAAACUUGGACUUCUCCAAGAGCUCUUUGCUGUGUAUCUUUUCCCGCCUCUUCUGAUUUUAAUUAGAAAAUUCAAUAUCUCCUUUUCCAGCCCCUCCGUAGAGAAUCCCAGAAAUUGGCUAAAUUUUGCUAAGCUACAGUCCUCCCAUAGUUCCUCUUUCUCAUUUUCGGUAUCUUGAGAUCCAGAGGCACCAGUAUUCCCCUCCUUGCCCCUAACCUUGUCUCUGUUUUUGUUGGCCUCUCCCAACUUCCAGGAUCCAUUCUCGUUCUCAACGUUCCCCUCAUAGACUGUUAACCAAGUUGACUUGUCCCCCCAUAAUUCCUCCUCUAUUCCCCCUGGACGAUCGAAAGACUCCCCCUCUGGAGCCCGAUCAGAAUUAGAAGAGAGAGGAAGAGAUGUCCCCAUAACCCGAUUUCCUUUAGGAUGGGAAUUCAGGACAUACCUCUUAGCUUCCUCUUCAAGCGCUCGGUCAGUCAUGGAGAAGCCAUCAUCCCUCUGUUCCCUUCUAAUCUCCUCUGGCACCCAGCUCGUCAAAGGAUCCUCUAGAAUGGAUCCUUUUCCGGAGAUAAAACGGCCCAAAAAACCAGCCUUCUCUUGGGUAGCAGUUGGGCCAUCCCUUUCCAAGCCUUCCACCUCAACUAAAGGAUGGCAGACCAGUUCAACAGCCCAAUUACUAGACGAUGGGCCUGCCUCUGACUCACCAGCCACCUUUGACUUAUCUCUUAACUUUCGGCCCAAAGGCCUGUCCAUCUUAGCCAACCCACCAUCCUUCUCCAGCUCUUUAAGACCCAUAUUUAAGCCAUAUGAGGUCAACCCAACCACUUUUCCAUCUAAAUGGACCCAAUCCCGGGGCAUCGGGCCAUGGAUCUAGUUCCAGGGCUCUAGACCCGACCCAUUCUGCUGCAGAAGCCUCCCAUCAUCUGGCAGAUGCCGUUCCUCGGUUCCCGCGUCUAUCAGUUCCUUCCCCACACGCUUCUCUGCGCGUGAGUACGUGUCACCCCUGACCUCGGUUCUCCUUCUGAUUUCCGUCACAGAGAAGAUCCGUCUCACCACCGGCCUAAUCUCCCACCACAGCGCCAAAGUGUAAACCUCCUCCUCUACCUCAAUUUCUAACAUACUCGGUCUAAAAUCACCUCUUAUUUUGACUAGUAUCCUAGCCCAUUGAAUCUCCCCCAUCAACCUUGUCCGCUCGUCAAUUUCAACAAAUCCCCCACAUUCCUCCCCUAUUUUCUUCAGAAUCACCGGGCUCCAUAACGAAAUUGGAGGACCGAAAAUUUUAACCCAAGCUUCCUGAACCAUCUCCUCCUCUACCCAACAACCCGACUUUGGAUUCCAGAGAUCCAACCCUAAGUGGGUUCCUCCCAUCACUCUGCUCCCCGAUGAGACCACACGGUGAGCCUCUCUUAGAUCUUCAAACUCCAACAAUGCCCUACCUCGUUCCAACUUGGCCAGCCCUAACUUGCCUUUUAGGCCCCAAGAAUUCGCCCAAAGACUUUCCAGCCUCUCCAAGUCUUCUUCUUCCUUUUUGUUGGACUUCCAGCUCGCGACGAGGCAGGACUCUAGCUUCUGUAAGUUUCCAACAAUCUCCUCCCUAGUGAUCUUCAUCUUGAUUGCAUUUGAGCCUUUCCGAUUUGUACUCAUGACUGCUUCUGCGUAUGAUUUCGCCGGAGUAGCUUUUCCGCCGACCCUUACUUCCUGCAAAUCUGUUCUUCUACCAGCCAGCUCUUCCAUUUGACGAAUCAUCUCCGCCAUAUCCGUCCACCCUCUUUUGUCCCUCCUACCUCUCGGUAUGAAGAUACAGAACCUUUUUCGUUCCAGAUCCACAACCCCCAACCUUAAAAAGCCACCCGCUCUAUUGAAGCCCCGAGCCAAAGUGUACCGCUUACCUCUUUCUCUCCACUCCUUUCCCCAUCUCCCUUCUUUUUCGUCUCGUAUACAGUGGAUUAGCCCCUCCUUGAAAAGCCCUAAGCUUUCCAGCCCUAAUCGAACCCAUGUCGAGACCCCCCGCUUCUUCUCCACAAUGAGGAUCUGACGUUUCCCUUUCCUUUCAUCCAGGGCAAGCUCGAAAGUCUUGGAUUCCACCGUGAAGCUUCGCUUUCGACUCGCCUCACCGGUCUCAUCAUUGUCGCCGUCGCACGCGCUUUCACUCUCCCUCACGCCCUCUCUCUCUCUCUCGUCCUCUCUCUCUCUCUCUCCCAUCACUAGCGGGAACUACAGUUACGAAGACAGGCAAUCAAUAACACCUACAAAGGACAACAACAAAUGUAAAAAUGCUCCAGAAACAAAUUCUGAAAUCAUAGCACUCCUCUUCAAGAGAGGAUUAGCCACAGGAUAGCUAGAUCAGUGGGAUCAAGAGAAAUAACAGUCCAUAUUUCUUGCCUUCCACUGACCAAUUCAGUCAUCACUCACCAUAAAGAAUUUAAAGAGACACAUAUAUACAAACAGGGGUUGGACAGAACAAUAUGAACAAGCAUAUUCCCAAAUAGAGACUCAAAUAUAUAUUGCCCUUCAAGCAACAUUCAACACUAGCAAUCCACAAUUCAAAAUGAUCGAGUUUCAAUAAACCAUAUGACAGACUGGAAGAAAAGAUGAAAGCAUUGGUUAACCACAGGAAGAAAGAUGGUCGGCCUGCAUUAAUGCUCUGAUAAACCACUUUUUUUUUUUCUGAAGUGUACUCACAGUUGAAGAAGCCCAGAGCCAUGCCCUGAAAUUUUGAAGCUGAGGCUUCAACUUAAGUUCUUCCAUUAGGGGAAUUGCCUUUUUCCACUCCAAUUCGGCCUUCAAUAUAGCCCUCUCCGUAACCCAUAUGGCAUCAUCCACCUAGAAAUCAUUUCAAACAUUUCAGAAACACAAGAAGUAAAACCAAAUCCAAACUCCUCAAAACAAGUAAAUCCCUAGUCAGAAACCAAACUUGAAGGGCUUGUUUCUCAAAUUGACUGAAAUUGGCUAGUGUAUCAUAACUUCGUGGCAACUGCAUUAAGUAAGGAUGCCACCAAGAACUCUUUCCUUUGCUCAUUUCGGCUAACAAACAAAUAGUCAAUAUCUGCACAAAAGAGAAUUCAAUAGACAUAGAAAAGUAUUCAAUUCAAUCAUUAUAUCAACACAAUGGGAUAUUUGGACAAAAAGGACAAAAAUAACUUUGAAAUUGGAAAAAUGACCCCCCUUGUUCAUUCUUUGAAGACAUAACCCCUUUUGGACAUUUUUACCCCUCUUUGUUUCACCAUAAAAAUGCAUUACUCUCUCUCUCUCUCUCUCCCACACACUCAUUUCCCUAACAUUUUUCUCACUCAUUUCACUCACUCUCUCUUCCUGUGAAGUCCCUCCAGCCCCUGCUUCUUCUCUUAUGACUUUGUCAGUCUCUUUCUCACUAGCACAAGGCUUCAUUCAUCUCUCUCAUCACCACAACUUCAUCAUUCUCUCUUAUUACAACAACUUCAUCUUCAUUUUAGCAUACAACAAAUUCAAAUAAACUUAAACAACACCUUCAUUUCAUGUUGCAUCAUAAUGUAUUGUGACUAAGUUCUAUUUACAAAAAACCUAAUUAAGGUUAAGUUCUUAGUCAUAAUAGUCAAAUAGUCACUUGAACUGUGUUGUAGUUAAGUUUCAUUUAAAAAGAACUUAUAUGGGAAUAAGUUCUUUGGACUUAAAUAUAGUUCAAGGCUUUUGUUAAAAAGGGUGUUGAAAAUCAAAAAAUUCAAAAAGAUCCCCAAACCACCAAUUGAAAUUCAAGGAUUUAGACCUAAAAAAAAAAAAAGACAAAAAUUGUUUAGAUCCCACCUACUAGAGUUUAGAUGGUGGUUCCAUGAAUCAUAGGACCUGACAAGAACGAAGUUGGAUCAAAGAUUUAGCUAGACUUUAGAUUUGAUCUCAUAUUUAAAUUUGUAUGGUUAAGAUGAAAGAACAAAAAAUCUCAACCAAGAACAAAAAGAAAGAUUGAAAAAUGAAAAGCAUAAUACUCCCUUUUUCCAAAGAUUGCCAUAAUAGUAAGGGAUGAAAUAAGGGAAAAUUAAAAAAUGAGUCUCUUGGUUGGGAAUUUUUUUCUUCCAAAGAGACUUCCUCUCCUUAAACAAAAUGAUGAAAUGUGAGAAAAUAAAAGAGAAAAUGAGUUUAAGAAGAAAUUUUUUUAGGAGAGGAAGAUUUUUGUCUAAAAGGGGUCAUACAUCAGCAUUUUUAGGUUAAGAAGACAUUUUUGCAAUGGACAAUUAUGUUAGAGGGAUAGAUGAAUAUGAUAAUGGCCCUAAAGGCUACAUACUUUGCAUAAUUGGGCUGAAAAGGUAAAAUAAGUUUCAAAAUUGCUCUAAAAGAUACAUGGACAAUUUGUCACCUAAAAAAGCCCCAUCCUUAAUAUGGCUUUUAAAAAAGGGACGAUCUCCAUUCUAGCAAAUGGGCCUAAGGUCUUUAUAAAAUACAUAUUUGGGCUCAAAAGAUAAAAAUUCAUGCAAUUGGAUGAAAGAUGCCACAUGAGCACUACAAAUAUUUAAUCUAUUAAAAUUUAUCCUCAAGUACUCAUGAUAAUUAAUAUAUUAAGAUUUCAACACUUAAAAAAUAAAAAAUAAAAUAUUUCUCAAAAUCUAUUUAAUAUUCAUAUAGUAUUUAUUUAUUUAUUUUAUUUUUUCAAGUUGCAACUACUUACUUAACUUAUUUCUCAUUAAUUUAGCGUUUGAUUAUCAUUAUUUUAUUUUGAAAUUUUUUAUUUUUGAAAUUUAACUUAAUAAAAAUUGUAGGCAUGUACAAAUCCGUCUAUCAUGAAUUUAUGUGCAUGUAUUUCUUCAUUUUUUUUGUUUGCCUUUCAUACCAAAUUAUUACAACUUUAUUUAUAUGCAUGCACAAAUGCCAAAUAUAAUUUUUUUUUCACACUUUUACGCAUGCACAAGACAUUCAUACUAAAUGUACAAACAUUUUCACAUUUUCAUUAACAUUCAUAAACAUGUGCAAAGUGCAAAUAUAUUCACAAUAGGCAGACUUGUGCAUGCAUUUUACAGCCAAUACAAAUACCUUAUACAUUUAGCACAAGUGCCUUAUACAUGCGUGAAAAUAUAUAUAUAAAAAAAAAUAGUAUUUGAUAUUUAUGCAUGUAUAUAAACAAUACGAUGUAUCUAGUUUUAUAAAAAACAAACAAAUAAAAUAAAGAAAAACACACAAAUAUAUUCACAACUGUACAAAUACCUAGUAUGUAGUAAGUGCAAGUGCCUUGUAUAUUUAGUAUAGGUCUCUUGUACAUGUGUGAAUGUAAAAGAAAUUACAUUUGAUAUUUAUGCGGGUAAACAAAAUUUACAAUGGUUUGAUAUUGAAAACAAACUAUGAGAAUCAAGAAAUAUGCAAAUAUAGCUGUGGGAAUGGUAAAUGGGCGUUUUUGUCCAUGAAAAUGCAAUUAUGCAAAGUAUGUAGCCUUCAGGACCAUCGCAAUCGUCCCUUUUUACAAAUUAAGUUACCCAUUUUAACUAAAUAUCCCCAACCCAAUUGCAUGACAUAAAAAUUGAUCCAAACCCAACACUCGAUUUGCUUUCUGAUAAAAUUAAAAUAAAAAAUCAUCUAAAAUAAAAGCUGGAUUAAUUUUCUUUCGUUUUGUUUCCUUUGAAUUCUGGAAAAUGAGAACUAUACCAUAACUUGAGUAAAUAGCCCUAUUAGGCUCAGUUAAGCGGAGCAUGUUUAUUUUUCUCCAGAAUUCCUACAUUUUCUGGGCAACCAAACAAAGUCCAGAAAAGAAGUUUGUUAUGAAAAACCUGAGGAGAGGAGAGAGAGGUGUGCCUUUUGACAGCAACAGAGAGCUUCUCAUCUUUCAACAGACUUUGGCUCGUCAUCAAGGCCGAUUUGGGAACUGUGAGAAUCAACUCCCCUUGACUGAGAUCACGCGCAGCCGCCAAGCCUCUACUGUAAAUCAGACAGAGAAAGAGAAGAAAUCCACUUCAGUGGAAGAGAAAGAAUAGGAAAAAAAAAUUAACAUCAUUUAGUUUUUUUUUUUUUUUGUGGAUUUUCUCGAAUCAAAUGAAGAGAAAAAGGGAGAAUGAAAAUGAAAGUACCCGCCUGCGUGAGGAAAGUGAGAGACGCAGAGAGAGUGGCCCACACAACAAUGAGGGAUUUGAAGACGAGACGGAACGGUGGUGGGGGUGGUGGUGAAGUCCGAGAUUCCCAGCUCCGUCGCCCAUUUCAGAAACCUUUCCAUUGCACAGACUUUUGGCACUGUAGGUGUACAGUUUGGAGACAUCAAAACUCCGUGUAUUACGAAAUUUUUUAGGACAAAUUUACCCAUCAAUAAAUAAAUCAAAUAAGUGAAAUGCCCUUAUAAACCAAUACACGUUCCUUCGGCUUUCGUCUUGCUUCGCACUUCGCAGUAUUUCUUCCCUUCAAAUAUUUCCAUAACUCUAUUAAACCUUUAAAAUAAAUUGAUCAUUAUAUAUAUAUAUAAUAAAUUAUUUUUUUAUUUUACAUUUUUUAGAAUAAAAAAUAAGUAUUUUCAGAUAAUAUCUUUUAAUUAUUUUUUUUAUUAUUUUUAUUUAUUUUCUAGGAUUGUUUUAAAAAAUAACUAUAUAAACAUGUAAAAUAAUUAAAAAUAAAACAUCAGAUAUAAAAAUUAUUUUUAAAAUAUAUUUAAAAAUAUUAAAACAAGUUAAAAACAUUUUAUGUUUUCAAACAUACUUUUGUUCUACAAAAAAUAGAGAACGAUUUUUUAAAACUAUUUUCAAAAACUAUUUUUCAGAAUUUAUUUUUAAAAUAGCUACUAAACAAAUAACAAUUUUUUAAGUGUUCACCAUUGUACCUCCAAAUAUUUCUUAGUAUGUUCAAAAUUAUACAUUUAAACAUAUUUUAAUUUUUUAUUUAAAAUAUAAUUAUAAUAAUAUUUAAUUUUUUAUAUAAGAUAUUGCGUAUAUACUAAAAGCUCUAAUGAUCAUACACUACACUUAGGUCUUUAUAAUAGAUGUAAUCCAUUAGAGUAGGAAAGCAUUGAUAGAAUGAAUAUGAGAGACCGAUGAAAGAAAUGAAAUGAUUAAUAUAAUUGGUAAAGACAAUAUGAAAGGACUUCUUGGAUAAAAGACUAAAAUAAUUUUUACUUAUGAAAAAAGUGGAGUAUAUACAAGUUCAACAAAUUAAGGCUCAUAUUAAAUGUAAGAGUUCAAAAAGAAAUGGAAGUGAAAAGUUGACAAAAGAAAAGAAGUGUGAGUAUCUAUUUGUUCUUAAAGGUGUGAAGUUUCCAAUUGAUGAGGAUUAGAAGUUGGUUGCUAAAUGUUGAACACAUAUCCUCAUUAGAGCACAAUAUCUUGAAUGACUUUUUUUCUAUCAUUUAAGUCAAGAACAAAUUAGUAUCUUAGUUGACAAGUUGAAAAAUAACAUGAAGUUAAAUGAGAUAAUAAGUGGUUCAAAGAUUUAUCACAUUGAGGACUAUAUACAAUCUAAAGUAUAUGCAUACUGUGAAGGAAUAUGCUUCUUUGGGAUCGCCAUGAAAGACUCUUCUAGAUACAUGAACGAGUCUGGUUAACUAACAAACCCUCCCAUUAUGACUAGGCACUCAUGUGGAAAAAUAUUAGGAAUAGUGGAUGUGUGUACUACUAGGGUCAUAGUAUCUUUUGUUAAUGUGAGACAAUCAUCCUAAGUUCUAUCAAUAUUAAUCCUACCUUAUUACUUGUCAUAUAAUCUUCUUCCAAAAACCUAGUAUUUAUGCUUACCAACACCUAUUCAAUUUAACCAUAAAAGUAGUAGCCCCUAGUUCCUUUUCGAUAUCCUACAAACUAGAAAACUAGCAAACUUUUAUCCUAGAUUCAGCUUAUCUACCUUUGAAUUCAGUACAUAUGUUGGACAUCCUCAUAUACAUAUAUGUCAAAAACUAGGUUUAUGGUGUAUCAACAUUUGAUCCAUAGGUGUCAAAUAUACCAAUUUAGAAGGAACCAAAUUAAGAAGAUACACUGACUUUUUCAAGGCAUGUGGCCAAAAGGAUGUACAAAGAGUUCAGAAACUCAUCAUCAAUGUCAUCAUGCCCACCAGAGUUUGAUUUCUUCUUUCAACAACUCCAUUUUGUUACGAAGUGUCGAGUGAACUCAACUAGAAUAUAUUCAUACUCCCCAAGGAAAGAAUCAAUUCAUUAGACAUGUACUAUCCACCUCAAUCUAAUCAAAGUGUCUUAAUAUGUUUACCUAGUUAAUUUUCUAAUUCCACCUUAUAUUCCUUAAGGUUACAUUUGGUUGGUGGGAUAUGAUAAGAUUGGAUAUGUAUAUCUUAGGAUAUCAUAUCCUAUUGGAUAUGAUAUGUACAUCUUAGGAUAUGAUUUCCAAUGAGAUAUGAUAUCCUUGAAUGUAUAUAUCUUAUAAAUAUGAUAUUUUAAGGUAGCAUAUCCAAUGUGAUACACUAUAUUAUAUUAUAUUUAUAUUUAAUUUGUCAAAUGAAUAAAAAAUAAUAUGAAAUAUAUAUUAUUUUCAAUAUUUAAAAUAAAAAUUAUAUCACAUUCAAAUGUUUUCUAUUUAAAAAAUGAAAAUUUUGUUAUGUUUAACAAUAUUCAUGAUUUUAAAUUUUACAAAUAAAAAUUUUCUAUAUUAUGUUAUUUAAUAUAUAAAAUAAUUUAUAUAUCAUGUAUUAAUAUUAUUUUAUAAAUAUUUCUUUUAGUUUUUCCUUUUUAAUCAUAAAUUUAAUUUAUAAUAAAAAAAUUAUUUUGUAAAAUGAGUAUAUUAAAAAAUAAAAAAUUGAUAAAAAAAUAAUUUUUUGAUACAUGAGAUCUAUAUAUCUCAUAUCUUACCAUGGGAUUAACAUAUCCCAUGUGAAAAGGAUAUAUAAAAUAAAUAAAUAAAUAAAUAAAUAAAAGGAUAAUAUAUCCCAUCACUUAUUUUAUCCCAGGUUUGGCUGAACAUAGGAUAGGAUAAGUGAUAGGGUAACUUACCCUAUCCCAUCACCAACCAAACAUGAGAUAGGUGUAGACCCCCAUUUGGGUGUCAUUUUCUACAGCCAUUUUUGCCAAGUGUCGCAGUCCCAUAGGGCCACGUGUCGCCUUGUGGUUGGUGGUCAUAGAAACAGAUGGUGGAAUUGAGGAGCGAGUGAGAGUUUGACACGUGGCAUGGAGAUAUUCUGGCCGUUAGGAGGAGCGUAUAUUUUCUGUUAAAGGGGAUUUUCGCAGAGGGGUCGGCUGGCCAGAGGUAGGGUGCUUUUCAGAAGCUGCUGCAGGGUAGUGGUGGUCGGGUGGCUGUGGUUGGAGAGAUAUUUUUAGAAGGUUGGCAGAAAAUCAGGAGGGGAGAGGAGCUUUUGUUUGGUUGCUUUGGGUAGAGAGGGAGAUCCCAGAGGGGUUAGAGGGAAAAAGUGAGAGGAGAGUUCAUCUUUUUUUUGGAAGAAGAGGCGGGAGUAAGAGGGUAACAGAGGGUAACAGUGAUAUAGAGAGAGCUUGAAGGGUAAGUUUGAGGGAGAGAGGAGAAGAGAUGGGUUUUGGUUGCUGAGUUUUGAGGGAAAGGAGAGAAACGGAGUAAGCCUGCUGGGUAACAGGGGGUUGAGAGAUAUUGGUAGAGGGUUACAGAGAGGUUUUUGGGAGUGAAGCUUGAAGAAUGAGAUAACAAGGAUAGGAGAGCAGCUGCAGGCGGGUUUGAGGUGAGUCUUUUGUUCACUUUGAUUCAUAUAUAUUUAUCUUCUCUCUCACAUUUUAGAUUGCUCGGCAUUGCUUGUCAAUUUGGGUUGGAUAAUGUGGAAUGCAUGCUGAAUUUUGUGGUUUUUUUGGGUUAUGUUAUACUCUAUUGUUGUUGAUUUUGCUGUGAUUUUUGUGGUUUGGGCUUGAAGUCAAUAAGACUCUGUUUCUCAUAUAUUCUGAAAGUCCAGUUUGAGACCUCCCCACCUGUAUUAGCCCAUGGAUAUUACAUGAAACGUGAGGCUAUAGAUGGUUGAUUUGUUAUGCUUCCUUCACCUGUGCUUUGUUUUCUUGUGGUGUUUUUUUUUCUUCUUUCCCCUGUUUCUGAUGUCCACCUACGGGGGUUGAGCACGAUGGAUAAAGAGCACUGGGAGGUUCUGAUUGUUUAUGGAACAUGAGUUUUGCCGGAUGAGAUAAUACCAGAAAAUUUCAGGGAUGUUAUGUUUGGAUUUGUGGAAUAUUGGUGUUUGCUUUUCUGGUUGGCAUAGCAUUCUUUGGCCAGUUUGAGGUUCAGUGGAACUUGCUGCUGUAGGGGUUUCUACCGUUUUGUUCAAUCAGGUAUCAAAGAUCACAAUACUCUCUUUGGCCGCGUCAAUGAAAGGUCCUGUGAGAUGAAAAGAUGCUUUUGUUAAGCAUGGGAAGUAUGUUCAGUAAGGCGGCACAUCGAGGUAAAAAUAAUGGACGGCAGGAUAAGGAGAGUUUUCAUAGGGAUGGUGACACUAUGGGCCUGAUAUUGGUGGGGAAUCUGGUGAUAAUUUGCAAAGUGCCCGUCAAGCCAAUUAGCUGCCCGUUAUUUGUUCCUCAUAUACCCAUUUCUUCUCAAAGCGACUGAACCCAAUCCUCCCUACCUUUGCAUGUUGCGUGGCCAUCAUGGCCAUGCAUAGACACUUCAAACCAAUCAUUCAUCACACCAACCCAUGGCCCUUCUCAUACAUCGUGCAUGGCUGCCCCAAGAUAUACCCAGACCACUUAAACCCAUCCUCAUUUACACCCAUACACCCUGCACAUGACCAUACUUCGUCUUGCCACCUUUUCUCUCUCUUCGUAUCAUCAUACAACCCAUUUGACUUCAUUCAUCCAUCUCUCCUUUCCCUCAUACCCCUCAUAACCCAUUUCUAGACCCAUUAAUACCCUCACAUGCCAACCACUGCCCUUCACUCACUACCCCACCUUGCAUGUCUUCCACCCGUAACUCCUACCCACCUUAUUUACUUCUUCACCUUUCAAUACAUCAUACCGAUGCCAUCACUUUCAUUAGCCUUAAAAUAUACCACCCAAACCCAUUUUCUCCCUCUAUCCUUUCGCUCAUCUCACUACUAUCCCACCUUCUAUACCUCCCAUAUACUUUUUCUCUCAUCACCUCUCAUCGUUUGAUUCGUUAGCAGCAUCCUUAUCCUUCCCGAGCAUCCAUCUAACCCAUCAUUCACCUCUUAUUCACGUGCAUGGUGCCCAUUGUGCGUGGCUACCCUUGUUAUCUUUCCACCUCUCCAAUAUCCAUCACCAAUAGCUCACUUCACUACCAUAUUUCCAAAUUAUUCGGCUGUGAUGAUGGAUGAUUCAGACGUUUAACUUAUGGAGGCUUUACAUAGGCUGAUGCAAGUUUGUCAAUGCCAUCAGAACUGGGGAUUAUCAGUAGGGGCAGUCGUGGCUGCUUUCUUGACAAUUCCAGCAAACCCAGAGCCAACGGUGACGUUCUCAUUGGUAUGAGACUGCCAUGAAAUGAAAUUUUUGAAGAAAGAACUCACUACAGGUGUUACACAAAAUUCUAUGGCGCUCGUGGGGAUGUACAAGAAGGUUCUUGUUGCCUUCCAUGCAAGCCAAGUUUUAAGCUCUAAAGCACAGCGUUUUUGAAGCGGGAAAAAUUGACAUCAGCACUCUUGAUUUGGCAACCCCUUGAAGCCAUUAAUCGGGAUACCUUGUCCCGUUUCCACUCUAGCUAUGGCAUUUCCUCCGUCCGUCUUCGCAUUUCUGGCAGAUUGAAGAACUGUGCAUUUGUGGGUUUGAGGAAUGAAAUGUUGUCUUCUUAAAUGACACGUCAAUCAAAUGGGUUGAGGUUUCUUGGUCACCCGGAAAGCAAAAGAGAGAUGACCCUGAGAAAGUUACACCAAUAUCUGCGGGCAAAGGCAGAAAAUAUAUGUUUACAGUUAAGAAUUCUGGGCCAAGAUCAUCACUUCCAGUUCCUGAGUCUUCUCGGGCAGAUUCUGGUGGAUUUCAGAGGAAACCUCGACGUAUCCGGCACACUGGGUUUCGAGUACGCGAAAAUCCUGAUAUGAGGCAAUCAUCAGGCAUGGUUUCAUCUAACCACUCUGGCUUAGAUGAUAAGUCAAAUUAUCAGUGGAGGGGAUAACAGGAAGUGCAGCGGGAGUAGUCACCGGUGCUGCUGCAGUCGGAGCGGGCUUCCAAGAGGCUUGGCCAUAAGAUCCGUAGCCCGAGCAUAUACACGGUUGGGACCUAAAGUCAGUGUGUUUCCAGCUAUGGAUUCCAGAUGGUCAACACGCCACCUCUCAGUGUGACUUGAAUGAACCUGGAAGGUGGAUUCAAGACCACAGCAGAGAAACUAGAUUCUCUAGAUGGUUCCUGGAUGUAUCCUAAGCCUCUUAUGGAUUUAAGUGGUUAGCAUCUGUAAUGAGUGUGGAAGAGUAGCUAUCGGCCAAAGACCACGCAUUAUUUAGGACGCCCAGUUACCUCGGUUUACGCGUGGAUCAUCCUUGUUUCCUGUAGAUUAGAAUCAUCAGAGCCUUAUUUUGCAUCUGCUCCUUUGAUUAGUCCAAAUUACCCAAAGCUUUCUACCAUGGAGCGCGAGGCAACUGCUUUGUCUCUGAAUUCUGGACCUACCGCGGAAAAGAGGCCUUCCUUUUCUCAAGCCUAGAGCCGUCAUGAUCUAUUUCAAUUUGAUGAGGGAGAAAACCUCUGUGAACACUUCUACAGUACUCCCAGAUUCAGGCCCUGCGAUUCCAUCUUUCAACACAGAGAGUGAAGUGUUCAGUGCUCUCGUGAAAUCUCAUGCUAUUGAGAAUGGUGGCCCCUCCUACUAGAAAAUGCAGUGACAGUUUAAUGAUGGAAGGGUCAAAUAUCGGUACCUCUCAGUGCAUUCCAGCAGAAGUGAUCCUCUAGGAGGGGUCCAUGAAGGAAUUUUCUCUGCAUGGCCACCUUUAUGCAUGGCCACCCUUGGCCAUGUGCCACCUUCCAUUUCUUCCUUUUGUUUUUUUUAAAAAUAGCUUUCAAAGUCCCUUUCUUUAAAUAAUCCAAGUUUUUCAUCCUUAGAGUCUUAGGUAUCAAAAAUCCCGUUUUUAAAUAAAACUUUGCUGCCAUUUUCUUUUCUGGCAAGCAAAUUUUAUAACUCCCAUGGUUUUUUUUAAAUGUUUUAAAAUAAGUAUGAAUUUAAUUCUGUUAUUCCAAAUAAUGGAAUUUAUGGAAUUAAUUCAUAUAAAAAUAAAUCGGGCUUUGGUGGGGGCCCCACAUACUUGACUUCAUGAUUGAUUGACUGAUCGAUUGAUUUAUUUGCCAUGCAUGAUUGGUUUACUCUAUUAUUUGAUAUGCGCUUGAUUAUACCUGUUCAUUGUUCACUAACCAUGCUUCAUGAUAGCGCAUUUGUGAUUGCCGCCCAGGUACGCAUCUAUUCAUAUUUUGCUCAUUCUCUAUACAUAUUCUGAUACUCGUACGUGCAUGUUUAGAUUUGAGUAUUUAUUGAUUUUCUCAUUGAUUGUCAUGUCAGCUUCAUUCUAUUAGUAGAGACCCGACUUUAGGGACUUAGAGGGGUGCUACGGUCUUUACCGUACCUUCCCGAUAAGUAACUUGACCCCUGAACCCGAUCCGGUUUUUCGUAGAUCACCUUUUCCAAAAUAAGGAGUCACACUUAGGGUUUUUCUUUCUUAUUUUGUUUACCCUUUAAAAAUAAAACAAAAAUAAGUGGCGACUCCAAGUCAUUUUUGAAUAAAUAAAAUUCAAUAUUUUCAAAUAAAAAUCGAGUUUCACCAUCGAGUGGGAAAACGCGUUCGAGCGAUCGAAAUGCGGGGUCCACAAAAGGAUAUAAUAUCCCUUCUCUUAUCCUAUCCUAUACUAUAUUCGGUCAACCAAACAUAGCCUAAAUGUAUCUAAACAUUAGAAUUCUUAUAGAUACAUACCUAGAGUAAUCAUUAAUGAAGAUGAUGAAAUAUUCAUACUCACCCUGUGCAUAAACAUUAAACAAGCCACACACCUCAAUAUGUACCAACUCUAAACAUUCUUUGGCUCUAUAUCCUUUACUUGUAGGAUUCACAUAUUAGAAGCUCUUCUAGAAUUAAAUUUUCCAAUGAUCCAGACUUGACCAGUCUUUGGAUCAUGUUUAUAUUAAUCAAGGCUAGGUGACUUCCUUAUAAGUGAGAUCUAAUUAUUCUUAACAUUAUUAGUAGAUAGAAUGCACUUAAGAGUAAUACGAAAUAGAUAUCAACCAAUAAGUUUGAGCAAAUAAAUGAGUUUUUUUUUUUCUAAUAAUGACCACUUUAUUAAAAAAGAAUCAAAUAAUCACAUCUAUUCAAACCAAAAACUAAAAUUAAAUUUUCUUUAGACUUAGAAACAUAAAGACAAUCAUUGAGCUUUAGAAGAUUAUUAUUCUUUGAUACUAAGGUCAUAUCUCCCAUUGGUUUCCAUAACAACCAUUGCAUCUGAAGCUAAGGCAAAGUACAUCUCCCCAUCAUUCAAUCUCCUUUUUUAAGACCCUUGAAUAGAAUUACAAAUAUGGUUAGUGGUUUUAGAGCCUAUUCACCAAGAAUUUAUGAAAUCCAUCAUUAAAUAAGACUCAAUAGUAAGAAUAUGAUGUGUACCUUCCUUUCUCUUUACGUAGUCCAAUAAUUUCCCUUUUUAGAGAUCCUUUUUGCCACAAAGGAAGCAUUACCCUUAGUCUUACUCUUUCCAAUACCUGCCUUGAACUUUCCUCAUUAUUUAGCAUUUUUUUUCCUUGCUUUUUUUCUUCUUUGUAGAAAGCUUUAAAAGAACCCUUGAAUGUAAUAUGAAUAUUUCUUUCACUUUAAGAAUCUUCUUAGUCAUUUGGAGUUCCUUUAUUAAUUCUAGCAAGUUCAACAAUGUAUUAUUCUUAAAAUAGUUGAGCUUCAAUGGCCGGAAAGAGUUUGACAAGGUCUUUAGGAUCAUAUCAACCAUAGUCUCUAUUAGGAUAGGACCCUUAAAGCAUGACAUGAUGUAAAAAAAUUGAAAAUUAUUAUUUAUUUUAUUAUAUUACAGUUGCAUUUUUAUUUAUCCUUAUUCCAUAUACUCUAGGAGCAUUCUAGCAUGCAUCUAUUGCAUUGUACAUGAUGAAAAAAAUGAAAGUCCAAUAGGGAACACCCAAAGAGGGGGUGAAUGGGUGAUUUAAAAAAUUUCAAUAAUGAUUUAUAUGGUAUACCCAAUUCUUUUACCCCAAGAGAUAUUGGGGAUAUCCUUAAAAGAUUGAAUGAAUUAUGCCUAUUAGUUAUAUAAAAAUAUGAUUUUAAAUUUUUAGAGAUACCCUACAAGAUGUUAAGGAUAAUUUAUUUUAUCAAAUUUUGUCAAUGUGAACAUAAUAUAAAAAACAAAAAGAUAUAAAUAAUGAGGCACAUGAUUUUUACAUGCAAAACCCUCACACUAACUAUGGAGAAAAAAAGAAACCAUAGAGUCUAAGACUUAAUAAUCUAAAUCCAUUGUUCGAAAUCAAGUUACACAUAUUUACUUAAUUGAUUUUCCCUAAUGACUUCCUCCCCAAUACCUACAACUUGAUUCACAUCCGUGACGCAAUAACCUCCUAUUACUCCCUAGUAGAUAUUUCAACUAUUCUGAAGGGAUGAUGAUCUUCAACCUAAGAUUCAAAGAAUAAUCCUUGAAUGAGAGAUCGAGAAUGGUGUAUCACUUUAGGCUUUCUCUCUAGGAGAUUCUUUCUAAGGAAUGUAAGGUCUCUCAAUAAUCAAUUUCCAAUCUCUCUCCAAAAUCUCCAACCCUUAAAGGGUUAAUAUAGAGGUAUUUAUAGGCAAAAGAUUGAAGAGUCUUGAUUUUUGAAGGUUUCUCAAUUUAAAUUGAGUGAAAACCUAGGCAGAAAUUGAUGAUCGCUCAAGCCAACUUAUGGACUGCUCGAGUGCCUCAUGCACUUGAGUGGCACGACCCAUUCGAGUUGUUUUGAGCACUUGAGCACUCUAAGUUGCUUGAGUGGUCCUACUCUUUUUCAAAAACUAAAUUUAAAUCAUUUUAAGUUCAAAACAAAAAUUGAUCCUCUUAAUACAUUAACAUAGCCUAAUUUGCCACAAGUCAAAUCUCUUUAGACAUACCUGUGACUUCUCGGUUAGACGAACAACAAUUUUUUAUCUUCAAUGGAGAGCAAGUCGCUAUAUAAAAAGACUUUUAUGGCUAAACAUAAGAAAUAACAAAAUUGCCAACAAUUAUAUAAGACUUAUUGUCCUAACACAUGACUUGAGUACAUUAAGAGUUGCAUGAAGAUCCAAGUCAUGAGUUCUUUAUAAGUAAAUGAUUUAUUCAUAGUCAGUUUGUGGACUUAGGCAAUUUAUUUGAGGGUGUGGUGCAAUAUUGAUGAAAGUCUGUAGUAACAAGCAUUCUCAAUAGAGGCACUAGAUAUCUCAUGUACUUUGAGAUAGUGUGCCCCCUUAGAUGAUCCUAAGGAUAUGUGUUUAGGUAAACUAUGGUCAUAAUAGUUCCGUAAGUGGAAUUUGAUAUUAACUUUUCAUUAGUUAGGACAUGUCAAUUAAUCAUACAAUAGGAGGAUUUGUAACUCAAGAAUGGAAAAUGUAAUCUUAAGAGGGUUAUGACUUUCACCUUGUUCAAUUAUAGACAUCAAUUCAUGGAGAGACUGUUUACAGUAAAUAAUAGGUCACAAACUCAAGCACUUAAUGUCUCGUUAUAAUAUACAUAAGAUAAUUGGAGUGCAGUUGAUUCACUAUAGUGGAAUGUUGAGUCAACUUCAGAAUUGGAUUAUAAGGGAGCCGAUACUAUCCUAUGGUUCUAAUGGUCCCCAUUUGAGCUUAUAUACCUUAAUGGCACAAUUUAUGAUGGUUAGUUCGGCUCUUAGUUCAAUUAUGCACAUAAGGAUGUUUUGGUAAUUGUGCAAGGUUACAUAAGAAUUAGUGAACAAUAUCUCUGGAUUGGAUUAUUAAGUAAUUAAAUCCUUAUUUUAGGUCAAUUAAUCAAUUAGGACCUUUUGAGACGAGAUUAAGAGACUCAAACCUAAGAUAGGCUCAAGUCACUUAAGUCUAGUAUGAACCCUAUAAAUACCCCUUAUGAGGUUGGGGUUUUAAAGGUUCUUCCAUCAUUCUUUCUACAUUCUAAAAAAAUAGUCCUAUCAUCCACCUUCCAAACAUCCACCAUCUAUUUGCUUAGCUUCAAGAAGGGGUCAUCGAUGCGAAAGAUCGGGCGUUUGUGAGAUCACCUUUGACUACCGCGACAUCAAACAACAAUCUUAUAUUAGGAACCCUGGAUCACUCUUUUCCCAUGUCCUAGAUGUUGUAGAAUGCAUGUAUCGAUCCUUAGGGCUCUUUAGAUCUAACAUAAUGGAAAAUAAUGGCUUCAAAAACCAUUAUGGAAUAAAGAUCUAGAGAUUUGAAACUCAUAUCUAUGAUGUAGAUGUUCCCAGAUCAAAAUCCAUCUGUUGAAGAACUUGCCUGGAAAACUGGAGAGUCCCUCUCUUCAUGUUGCUUUUCAUAUGUGUAUCCCGAGUGAUUCUUGUGCGAUUCCCAUGCGCACGACUUGUGGGCAUCCCAUGUGAUUCCCGUGCACAUAACUUGUGUGUGUCCCGUGUGGUUUUCGUGUAUACAACUUAUGCGUGUCUUAUACACUAUAGCUCUACAUCCAAGAAGGUCUUGUACACCCNAAGAUCUUCCUCCCNNNNNNNNNNNNNNNNNNNNNNNNNNNNNNNNNNNNNNNNNNNNNNNNNNNNNNNNNNNNNNNNNNNNNNNNNNNNNNNNNNNNNNNNNNNNNNNNNCCCAAUGAGUUGAACCACAAUUUUGACACUCUAAAGUAUGGGCUUUGGAAUGAAAGAUGCUAUGACUCUCUCUCUCUGAAGAUGGAAGACAACUCUCAUUAAAAGUCAUUAGGAAACCAUAACCCUUAAAGGGGGUACUUAUAGGGUUGGCUAUUGGGCUUAAGUGACUUAAGCCUAUUAAGGCUUAGGUUAUUUAAUCUAACCCAAAAUGAGUCUUAAUUGAUUAAUUAACCACAUAAGGUCAUUAAUCAAUUAGCCCAAACCAAACACCUUGUUCAUUAUCCCUUAUGCAACCUUAUAAAAUUACCAAAACAUCCUUAUGCACAAGAAUGAACCUAGAGCCAAUCCAAUCUUCAUAAAGUAUGUCAUCAUGGUAUAUGAGCUUAGAGUGGGGGCCACUGGGACCCAUAAGAGUAUUGGCUUCCUUAGAAUCCAAUUUUGAAGUUGAUUCAACAUUCCACUAAAGAUAAUCAAUUGCACUUCAAAACCUUAUGUAAAUAACAAUGAGACAAAACUCGGAUUUAUGAUCUACUAUCCACUACAUGAAGACUCCCCAUUAACUAGUGUUCCUAAUAUAAUAAAGUAGUGCAAUUAGCUAUCAAGAUUACCUCUCCAUUCCUUUAGUUAUAGAUCCUACUAUUAUGUGAUCAACUGACAUACUACAACUUCAAGGAGCAUAUGUCAAAUUCCAUUAAAGAAAUUAAUGUGGCCAUAGAUUUCAUGAUCAUAUGUCAUUUGGAUCACCCAAGGGGACACACUAUCUUAGUCUCAUGAGAUAUCAAGGUGCCUCUAUUGAGAAUACUUGUUACCACCAACCUUCAUCAACAGUAACCCAAUCCAUAGGGAUAUAUGACUACUUUAGGGUCUCACCCAUAGGUCAAAGCCUCCUAUUGAUUUUUUAUAGACUCAAUAUCCUCUCAAAGUUGAGAGUCCAUGCAGUAUAAUAGCUUGGUGAAUCAUGACAAUUGAUAGCCUUUCAUCAUGAUUCACCAUAGGUCCUGUCUAGUGUGCAUCACAUAUACUAGUGCACUCACCAUGAGAAACCUAUCCCAAUGGCCAAGACAAGUCAUCUUUCCAAUUUGAAGGUGGUACACUAAAGUCUAUACUAGAUAGCCCAAAUCCAUGAACUGAUUGUGGACAACUUAUUUACUUACAAGGAACCCAUGACUUGUAUCUUUUGUACAAUUCCUAAUGUACCCAAGUCAUGUACGAUGUAAGAGACAUGGGUUGAAUGCUCAAAUCAAUGUCAAUACACCAAAUGGAUAGCAAGGAGAUAGCUAAGUCUAACUUUGUUACAUCAUGUCUUUCUUUUAGGGGAUCAAUCCCAACAUCUUUAUAGUAAAGAUUUGAUCUAAGAACAUCUAGAUCUAAGGUAAGCAUUCUAAACACAUAAUCUAGAUCCUGUAAAUAGUUUUAAAUGUUAUGUUUUCAUUGUGCAUAGGAUCUAGUAGCUCUAGAAGUAGUUUCAUGCACCUAACCUAAUCUUAGGACAUGUAAUGGGGUAAUCCGGAGUUUCCAUCAGUCUCACCAUCGAUUUUGGCACCUAGGAUCUCUAUCUUGAUAGAGAGUACAAUCAUAUGUACCAUAUAAUCUUUAAAGGGAAUUCCUUCUAUUAUCUUAGUUUUCACAAUUGUCUUAAGGAUAGCCUAUCAAGCCAACCUGCCCUUGUCACCAAACAUCUCAUGUAAGCUAAAAAGAAUAUGAUAGGUCAUGACAUGAGUCAUAUGUUGCUAUUGCAACAUAUUAUCCAAAAAUCUAAGCAUAAGGGUUGGUCAUUUCAUCUAUCUUAUGCCAUCUCUAAUAUGUCUUUCUUGUAUCUUGUAAGGAUUGUUCAUUAGCAUUUUAGAUCUAUGAAAUGGAAACAAUACUGACUUUUUUAAAAAAUAAAGCAAAAUUGAUCUUUAGGAUUAAAAAUCUAACAUUUAGGUUUGGAUGUUUUCAAACCUUAUAUUCCAAGUGUUGAAGAUGACCUUGAAGACCUAAAGAUCUUCUACUCGAUGACUCAUAUUUGAUACUUGACAUAAAGAUGGUGGAAAUCUAUAAAAGUGGAGGCUAAAGCUCUUUUUAGAACAUAAAAGGGAGAAUAGAAGAAUGAAACUCUAACCCCAAAAGGGGUAUUUCAUAGGAUUCUUAGUGAGCUUAAAUGACUUAAGCCCAUCUUAGUCUUGGAUGACUUAAUUUAACUAAAAAUAAGUUUCAAUUGAUUAUUUAACCCAAUAAGACUCUAAUUAAUCGAUUAGUCCAAUCCAAUGAUGUUGUCCACUAAUUCUCGCACAACCUUAUAUAAUUACCAAAAUGGCUUUAUGCACAUAAGUGAACUUUGAGUCAAUCUAACCCUUAUAAACCAUGCCAAUAAGGUAUAUGAGCUCAAAUGGGGGUCAUUAAAACCCAUAGGAUAGUACUGGCUCAUUCAAAAUCCAAUUCUAAAGGUGACUCAAUAUCUUACAAUAAAGAGUCAAUUGCACUCCAGUACCUAUGUAUUUUAUAAUAAGACACUAAGUGUUCAAGGUUGUGACCUAUUAUCCAUUAUAUACAGUCUCCUUAUGAACCAAUAUUCAUAAUCUAACAAGGUGGAAGUUAUUAGCCUUUCAAGACUACCUCUACCAUCUUUGAGUUCUAGAUCCUCUUAUAGUGUGGUCAAUUGACAUAUCUUAUCUCACCAAAACUAAUGUUGAGUUCCACUUAUGAAACCAUUAUGACCAUAGUUUAUUUGAACACACAUCUUUAGGAUCACACAAGGGGACACACUAUCUCAAUCCCAUGAGGUAUCAUGGUGCCUUUAUUGAAAAUAACUAUUACUACUAGCUCUACCAAUACUGACCCACUCCAUAAAAAAUAUAUGAUCAUUUGACGAUCUCACCCAUAGGUCAAAGUCACUACUAAUUUUAGCACAAACUCAGUACUCUCUCAAGGUUGAGACACAAUAUGAUAUAGUAGCUUUGUAAAGUCACUACUGCUCAAUAGCCUUACGUCAUCAUGACUACUCAAUAGCCUUACAUCAUGACUGUGUAACCAUACACACUAGUGCAUUCACCAUGGGAAACCUAUCUUAAUGGCUAAGACCAACCAUCUUUCCAAUCGGAGGUAGUGCACUACAACCUCUAAUGAAUUGCCUAAGUCUAUGAACCGUCUUUGAACAAGUCAUUUCCUUACAAGGAACCCAUGAUUUGGAUAUUCCGUGCAAUUCCUAAUGCACUUAAGUCUAUAAAAUGCAAUAGAUGCUAGAUGAGAAUGCUCAUAAAGUACAAUGCAUGAAAUAAGGAUAAAAAAAAAAGUAAAAUUGGAAUAUCAUUAAACAAAAAUGAAUUCUAAAUCUAUUACAUCAUGUCAUGAUUUUAAAUGUUCCAUCAUAACAUUCUCCUAGUAGCCCUAAAAGCAUAAUGCUAUUAAAGCAUACUAGAUAUUGAUUUGAAACUUACAUUGUCCAUUUGACCAACAAAGACUCUCCUCAUCAAUGUCUUAGUAAAGGGAUUCGUCAAGUUCUUCACAGAAGGCAACUUGUUAACCAUCACGUCACCCAUUUAUACUAUCUCAAUACUUUGGAAUACAAGCACUUAAUAUCUCAUUCUCCAAAGAUACUUGAGUAUAUAUUUGACAGUUGUUCAAUGUUCUAGACCUGGAUUCGACAUAUAUAUAUACUCACCAUAUUUAUAGUAAAGCAAAUAUCCAAUCUAGCACAUAACACUAGAUACAUAAGGCUACUAAUUGCAAAGACACAGGAUAUCCCUCUUAAUGUGAUGUCUCAUCUUAGAUGUCAAAGGACAUCAAUCCUAAGAAAAGACAACUCUAAACUGAAAAUGUACUUGACCAAAUGCUUAUUAGUAUAGAAGGCUUUAUAGUAUUGAGCCCCUAAAAGCAAGACAUGAUGUAACAAAGUUAAACUUAAUUGUCCCCUUGCUAUCCUUUUGGUGUAUUGACAUUAAUUUGAGCCUUCAACCCAUGUCUCUUACAUUGUACAUGACUUGUAUGCAUUAGGAAUUACAUAGAAGAUACAACUCAAUGUUUCACCUUGGAGAACUCUUGUUCUAUUUGUGAAAAAAAAUGAUGGAUCGAUGAGGCUUUGUAUUGAUUAUAAGGAGUUGAAUAAGGUGAAAAUGAGGAAUAAGUAUCUUUUUCCUCGAAUUGAUGAUUUAUUUGAUCAACUUCAGGGUGCACAUGUGUUCUUUAAGAUCGAUUUUUUGAUAUGGAUAUCAUUAAUUGAGGGUCAAAGGUGAGAAUGUAUCUAAGAUUUCUUUUCGAACUAGAUAUGGGCACUAUGAGUUUUUGGUUAUGCCUUUUGGUUUGACUAAUGCACCUACUGCCUUUAUGGAUUUAAUGAAUAGGGUAUUCAAACCCUAUCUAGAUGAAUUUGUGGUGGUUUUUAUAGAUGAUAUUUUGGUGUACUCAAGGAGUGGAGAGGAGCAUGAGCGCCAUUUGAGUAUUGUAUUGCAAACCCUAAGGGAUAAGCAAUUGUAUGCUAAAUUGAAGAAGUAGUGUGAGUUUUGGUCAUACAAAGUCUAUUUUCUUGAGCAUGUGGUAACCAAGGAUGGCAUCUUAGUUGACCUUGGAAAGGUAGAUUCUAUAGCAAAUUGGAGGAGACCUAGUACUAUAACUAAGAAACUGAAGCUUCUUGAGACUUGUUGAUUACUAUUUGAGAUUUAUUGAAGGGUCCUCUAAGUUUGCCCUACCUUUGAACAAGUUGACUAAAAAAAGGGUUAAGUUUGAGUGGUUUGAUGACUGUGAAUGUAGCUUUCAGGGUUUGAAGAGUAGAUUAGUUACAGUAAUAUUUUUAUCAUUCUUUUAGGUUCAAGAGGAUUUAUGGUGUAUAGUGAUGCCUUUCAUCAAGGUUUGGGUUGUGUACUUGUGCAGAAGAGGAAAGUUGUGGUUUUAUGCUUUCUAGACAUGUGAAGCUUUAUGAGCAAAACUACCCCACUCAUCAUUUGAAGUUAGUUGCAACGAUUUUUGCACUUAAGAUUUGGAGACAUUUUCUUUUUGGUGAAACUUGUGAGAUAUUAACAUAGCAUAAGAGUUUGAAGUACUUUUUUUUCCUAAAAAAAAUUGAACAUAAGAUAGAUGAGAUGGAUAGAACUACUUAAGGACUGUGAUUAUAUUAUUCUGUAUCAUCCAAGGAAGGUGAAUAUAGUAGCUAAUGCCUUAAGCAGGAAAUCACUCUAGAGGAUUUAAGGAGUUUACAAGUCCAUAAUAAAUUUUUAGACUUAGGAGCACUUAUGUAGAAUUUCAAAGUACAACCCGACUUAGUUGGGAGAAUUAAGACCAUACAAAAGAAUGAUUUGCAAUUAGUACAACUUAUGAAGGAAGUUAAGAGUGGUAAUAAGCCUAACUUUAUUUUAUUAGAUGAUUGGAUCUUGAGGUUUGAGACUAGACUUUGUGUCCCAAAUGAUGUAAAGUUAAAGAUGGAACUUUUAGAGGAAGCUCAUCAUUCUAGGCUUGCAAUCCACCUAGGAAGGAUGAAGAUGUACAAAGAUGUGAGAAAAAAUUAUUGGUGGUCAGGUAUGAAGCGAGAUAUUGCGUUAUUUGUGGCUCAAUGUUUGGUGUGUCAAUGGAUAAACUUAAUCAUCAACAACCUGUAAGGUCUUUGCGACCACUUUUUAUUCCUUAAUGGAAGUGGGAACAUAUUACUAUGGAUUUUGUGACAAGGUUGCCAAGAACAUUAGGGGGUAAUAAUGCUAUUUGGGUGAUUAUUGAUCGGUUUACAAAGUUUAUUCACUUUUUGCCCAUGAAAGUCAACUUCUCUAUAAACCAUCUGGCUUUUCUUCAUGUUAAGAAGAUUGUGAGAAUACAUGGGGUACCUGUUUCUAUAGUAUCCAAUAGCGAUCCUCAAUUUAUUUUUAGAUUUUAGCAUAAUCGACAGAAGACUCUAGGUACUAAGUUGAGUUUCAGUACUACUUUCCAUCCUCAGACUGAUGGUUAAUUAGAAAGGUUAAUUCAAGUUUUGGAAGAUUUGUUGAAACCUCGUGUUUUAGACCUAAAAGGUAAUUGAGAUGAUUUCUUACCCUUAGUAGAGUUUGCUUAUAAUAAUAGCUUUCAAGCUAGCAUUGGGAUAACACCUUUUAAGGGGUUGUGUGGUAGGAAAUGUCGAUCUCCUGUUUGUUGGGAUGAUGUUGGAGAAAGGAAAAUUUUGGGACUUGAACUCAUGCAAUUGACUGUCGAAAAGGUUACCUUGAUUAAAGAAAUAUUGAAAGCAACUCAAAGUAGACAGAAGAGUUAUAGUAGCAAUCACAGAUGAGAUUUAGAGUUUGAGGUAAGUGAUCAUGUUUUCUUAGAAGUUUCACAUAUGAAAUUUGUAAUGAGACUUGGCAGAAAGGAAAAACUCAAUCCUCAAUUUGUGGGUCUGUUCAAAAUACUAGAAAGAGUAGGCACUUUGGUGUAUAAAGUGACCUUAACCCUAAGCUUGUCUGAGAUUUAUAGUGUAUUUCAUGUUUCGGCUUUGAGGAAAUAUGUUUUUGAUCCCUCUCAUGUUGUGGGAUUGAAGUCUAUUCAGAUUUCUGAGGACUUGACUUAUGAAGAAGUACUCAUUUAAAUUGUAGAUGUGAUGGAUAAGAUACCACAUCAUGUUGUUGUCAAGUUGUUAAAGGUCUAAUGGAGCAAUCACAGUAUUUGAGAAGCCACUUGAGAAUUAUAGGAUGAGAUGAAAGAAAAACAUCCAAUUUUUUUUCAAGACUCAAGUAUGUUAAGUUUAGAGGAAAAAACUUUUGUUAAGGAGGGGAGAAUGAAACACCCCAAAUUAAUUUUUAGGGGUAAAGUAGUAAAUUAGAAAUUAAUUAAUUAAUUAAAUUUAAUAAGGAUAAAAAGGUUUUUUAGUAUUUAAAAGCCCUAGGUAUAAAAUGGAUUUUUUCUUAUCUUCUAUAAACAAAAACCCUUUUACAUAGGGAAUUGGAGAAUGUAGGGCUAAAGGUUUGGAGGUUUCGGGUUUGAAGUCUAGAUUUUCUAGGUAAUAUUUUAACCUUUAAAUUAUUAUUUUAAAUUCCUUAAUAAAUUUUAAACCCUUUUAAAAAGAAAAAAAGAAUUCUUUAGAAGAUUUCAAUUUAGGCUAGGGUCAAUUUAUUUAAAUUUUUUUUAUUAAAAUAUUGGAAAUGAUGAAUAUAGGUUGUUUUAUUGAUGAAAAUAGGGAAAAUUCAAAUUUUCAAAUGAAUAUAUCUAAGCAAUGAAAUUGAUAAAAAAAAAAAAAAAUAGGGUUACAUGAUUUCUGGAAGUGUAAAAUAAUAAUAAUAAUAAUAAUAAUAAUAAUAAUAAUAAUAAUAAUAAUGGGUCUUAUGGUUUUUGUAUACAGUGAAAGUUAGAAUAUAUAUAUAUAUAUAUAUAUAUAUAUAUAUAUAUAUAUACUACACAAGUUUUUCUUUUAAUUUUUUUUCAAUCCAUUAUGAUGUCAAUCAAUUUUAGUUUAUGUCGUGUCACUAUGGAACUCUCUAUAUGUAGAGAAAGCAACUGCUAGAAGCAAAGAAUGGAGUGCAAUAAGAAUUUAAAAAACAAAAAUGGGGUGUAGGUUGUGCAUGUGAGUGUCACAAGAACAAAAAUAAAUAGAGAGAGAAAGAGAGAGAGAGAGAGUGUGUGUGAUUAUGGUGUAAAAGAUUUUUGGUGGAAAGUCAAAAAGUGAGGGAAUAAGAAAAAUAUUUUGUUUAAAUAAUAAUGGAUGUUAAGUAAUAAAUAAAGUAGAAUUCAAUUAGUGAAAUAAAUUGGUAGUUUAAUUAAAUUAGUGAUGUGUUUUUGGAAUCAAAUUGAAAAUUUUUUUUUAUAUAAAUUAGAAACUUAUUAAUUUUACUUAAAUAAGGAAUAGAUUAAUUAAAUUGUCUUUCAUAAUUAGAAAAUAUUAAUUUGAAUACCUAAAAUUUUUAAGAUUGUCAAACUUAUAAUUUUAAACAAAUAUUAAUAGUUAUUUUUCUUAUGUUAUGUUAGGUGGGGAGUAGAUUCUUUAAAAUUAUUUUUUUCUUCAAAGUUUUUGAGUGCUGCUUUGAGGUAAGGAAUUAAUAUACAUUUUGUAAAAGUAAAUGGUAUUAUGUUUUUUAAGUUCUGAAUAAAUGAAACAAAGUGUUUGACUCUAGUUUGUUUAACCAUUGUCAACGAUAUAUAAUAAUUAACUUUUCGGCCUUUGUUAAAGGAAUCUAAUAGUUGACCUUUACAUUUUUUGUGGGGAUUGUAAUUGAUUUGGACCCUAGUCUUUAGGGGUUUAGUUAAAGGUUACUAAUACUAGUAGUGUUUGGUUCCGUCCACCUUGAAAGAAACAAUUUGAGGUUAGCCACCUAUUUGUAAAGUACCACCUAACUAAGUACCAUUAGUUGUUUGAUAACUAGAGCACAAAUAUUUUGGAAUACUUUUGAUUUGAAUUUGAUAUGAAAUUGUUUUAAUAUAAAUAUGAAAAUGUUUGGUAGAAAAGUUUUGAAUGCUUUAAUAUGUUUGAACUCAAAAGUUUUAUGAAAAAAGAAUGUGCAUUAUAUCUUGUGAAACCAAGGUUUGGUUAAUCUUGAUUUUGAUGAUAACAAAACAAGGUUUAGAACUAAUGAUCAUAUUUCAAGUGUGAUUAGGCAAGACGACUUCCAAAGUGGCAAUCCAAAGACAAAUCAAGCCAAGGAGAAAUCAUGAAGAAGAAGACUACCUCAAAGAGAAGAGUUUUUCAAGACCAAAGCUUCUUAAGAUCUCUCUGUAAGGUUGUUGGUGCACUAGGACUUUCAUGCAUUUCAUUCUUUAUUUAUGCACCAAAAUCAUCCAAGAGUAAUAUUAUUUUAAAUAUCUUAAGAAUUGGAUAAUUUCAUGUUUUCAACUAAAACCUUGUGUUAAAUGAUUUUCAAACUUGUGUUCAAAGGUUUUAAGUUGAAAAAGGUUGAGUGUUGAGCCAAAAAAAUGGCUCAACUGGUUCAAUCGGUCGACCGAUUGUGCUCGUCUAGUCGAGGACCGGUUGAGGGAGGCCAAAAAGUUUCUCUCUCUCUCAGUGGCCUUCUCUUCCUGGUCAAGGUUGAACCUCAACCGGUUGAGGUCUGGUUGAGGCCCAACGGUCACUUUUCCUAACGGCUAGUCAACCGGUCGACCCCUAGCUCGACCGAUCGAACCCCCAACGGCUAGUUUGACUUUUUUCUUUUAUAAAAAAGCUCCAAUCUUCAUUGUUUCAUUAGCUUAACCUUCCCAAAUCAUUCUUGAAUAUAUUUGAGCCUUGGAAGAAUGUUUUUUAGUGAACCAUUGUUUCAUAACUUGCAUAUCUUUAGUGCACCAUUCAAUCCUAGUUUUUCUUGUAUCUUUGAGUCUAAAGUUCUAUUACUAGAAUUUUUGUGAGAUCAAUCUUUGUAUAUCUUUGAGAGGAAUUUUCUCAACUGAGGGGUAUCACUUGAGAGGUUGUUCAAGAGUGGGAUAAUUCUUAAGAAGUGUAAAGAGUGCUUGGAGCCAAAAGUCCAAGAUGGUGAAUUGGAACCAUAAUCCAAUUGUAAAGAGAUUGGAAGCUUGGUUGAAGCUUCAAGAUAGUGGAACCCUCACUCGGUUAGGAGGUUGAGGAGAGUAGACGUAGGCAAGGAAGUGUCGAACCACUAUAAACUCUCGUGUUUGCACUCUCUCUUCCCUAACUCUUUUAAAUUAUAUGCAAUUGUGUUUAUUUUUUUUAUUAUAUAUUUGCAUAUAAUUGUCUCUUAUUUUUGCAUAGUUUAAAUUUGUGAAAAAGAGACCAUCACCCUAUUUACCCCCCCCCCCCCCCCUCUAGGGUGAUUACCAUAGUUUGGAUUAGCCUCAAAUUCCUAACAUAUCUCAUAUUUGUAAUUAUUAGAAAAUAUAAUUACUUAUUGGGCUUUGAGCUCAUUCCCCUUCAUAGAAAAUUUUUCAAGUACUCUCAAUUUGGGUGAUAAGUGACGGUUAGGACGAGAAUUUGGCAUUAUUAGGACGUUUGUUUAAAAUUUUUUUUUUUUGGACUUUAUUUAAAUGUUAGAAUUUGAUUACUGUUAGCUAUUGUUUAAGUUUGAAAUUGCUUGGACAAUAAUAAUUUGGUUGAUGAGUUAGUUUUAAAGUUGAGAUUUAAAAAAUUUUAGAAUUUGUUUUCUACUAGUCUAAACAAGAAUUUGGUAAUUGAUAAUUUCCAAUUACAAGAUGAAUGUUUGUAUUGUUUCCACUUUGAGCCUUUGGGCUUGAAGUGUGAAAUGACCAUCAUGCCUUUGGAGUGGGUUUUGGGGCAUAAUACCUACCCUCAUCACCAAAUAUUCCUUGUAAAUAAAAGAAAGUAUCAUAAACCAUGGCAAUGAACAUGUCUUAUUGUUGCAACACAUUAUCCAAAGACCCAAAUAUAAAAGACUUAAUCUUUUGAUUCAUCUUAUACCAUCUUUGAUAUAUCUCUUUCUCUUCAUGUUUGGAUUGUUCAAAGAAUAAUUGGAGCUAAGUGUUACCUAUUUUUGCUUCUUUUUUAUUAGUUACUAUAUCUAAAUUAUUUUCCAAUCCAUAUAGUUGGGCUUAGUCCAUUAAUUAUUUGUAACAAUGAUAGUGAUAAUAAUUGAGCAACAUGAUAUCUAUAACAAAAAAUAAAACAAUUCAUUAAACAUUGGACAUUCAAGGCAAAUAAUAGUUUAGCAAAUGUAAAGCUCUAAGGACUAUAUACCCUUUUGUUAGGUAUCCUAGUAUCAUAAAUAUCAAGCUUAUGUUAGGUAAGUCAUGAUCUUAUCACUAGAUAGAGACUCUCUCAAAUUGACCUCCUUGUCUUAAACUUGGAAAGUUCUUAAGGCAAGAUCAAUAUAUCUCUUAGUUUAGCCCUUAGUAUAUGAAAGACCCUAUGUUAGGAAGACCACUUUAAUAUUCUAAUUUAAGUGUAUAACCAAAAUCCUUGACAUCAAUGUUACCAAGUAAAGAUCCAUAUUGUUAGGAUGAUUACUCCUACUAAUAAUAUAUAUAGUCUUGUCCUCAAGAAAAACCAUAUCCCUUCAUGCCAUGGCCCAACCCACUGUUGAGGUGGUGAUGACCCAAAGUCAAGAUGAGCCUUAAGAUAACAAUGAAAGUCCUUUAUCCUUUGAUUCAUUCGACAAACCCACCAUUAGGGUAGUGAUAGUCCAAACCAAGAUGGGCUUGAUCUUAGAAGUUAUGGACUUACCUAUCGCUCUCCCCUAUUUAAUCUUAUGAGUUAAUUAAGAUAUUUUAAAACAUUAUUAAUUAUCUUAAUGAAUAAAUUAUCUUUGAUGAAAUUUUUUAAAAAUAUUUACUUCCUAAUGAGAAACUUAUUGUAGUAGGAAAAUAUAAACUUGAAAAGUUUAAAUUUUAUAUGGGAGUAUUUUAUCAAAAAAUUAAUUUUGAUAAACAUCUCUACUCUCAAAUUUCAAAAUCUAUUUUCAUAAAAGAUCUCCAUUACGUGAUUUCAAUUUAAUAACUAUCUUAAAUUUAGAAUUUUAUUUUCAAAAUAAUUUAUUCCAUUAAAAUUACAAAAAAACAUAACCUUUAGUAAUAUCCUUAAUGAUAAAUUAUCCAUUUAAAAAUUUUUCAAAAAAUUAUUUAUUAUUCUAAUUAAAGAUUAAUAUAGUAAGAAAUUUCUAGAUAUUGAAAAAUAAACAUAUGGAGAGCACUUUAUUUACUAAAAAAAACUUUUAUUCUUCAAAGAUUCCUAUAAAAUAAUUUAAGAAAAAUAUUUAAAAUCCUUGAGAAUAAUUAUAUAAAAAAAGAAACUUUGCUCACUCAAUUUUAUUUUCACAAAAUUAUUUCCUUAAUCUAUACCUUUCUAAGAUUUAAUAAAUAAUAUUAUUUUAGAAUCAAUUUUCAAGAAAAUUUAAUUCCAUUAAGAAUUACUAAAGUUUAUAAUUUUAUGCAAAAUAUUCCAUAUAUAUAUAUAUAUAUAUAUAUAUCAUUGCAUAAAACAUAAAAAAAAUGAAAAUUAAAAAAUUCUCAUGGCCUUAAGGAUACUAUUAGAGAUUUGGUAAAAUAUCUUGAGAUCUAAAAUCCCCAAAAUUAUCAAAUUACCCCCUAUAACCAAAAAUUAAGGUUAGAAAACAAAAAACCCUAAACUACCAUAAAUUGCAAAAAAGAAAAAAGAAAAAAAAAAAAAAAAAAGGCUUCUACGCACAAAUUGAGCAUAUUGCACACUAGUUAUACGUAGGUUACAUGGUUUUUCUUGUCUUCUUGAAAUGGUUUUCCUCUAUGAACAUCCCUAAUUGCCUAGAAUUUUUUUUAUCUCCUCUCUUGGAUCACUAUGGAUGGACAAAUAUAUAUAUAUAUAUAUAUAAAUUUUGCAUAGAAUGAGAAAAACCUAUGCUCCUCAAAAUGGAACUUAUAACCCAUCUGUGAAGAUUUUAUUUUAUUUUUUUCAUUUAAAUAAAAAUUCUAUAACCUAAUCUAGAGAAAAGAUGUAAUAAGAAAAUUAUCCAAAACAAUCAUUCAUUCAUUCAACCAAACAAGUUAAAAGCAUUUAUUCAUCCAUAGGGCAAUGGAAUGAAUUCCUAACUAUAUAAAACAAAGUUAGCACACCAUAAUACUAGAUCUAACAUGAUACAAACAUUAAAUAUUUUUGUAAUACUUGUUGUUGGAUGAUGUAAUAUCUAUUUAAGCUUUGAGGUGCAUGCAUCUAAGAUCCUAGACGUCACAAAAGAGAUAAAAAAAAAAAAAAAACAAGACUUUGGUUGCAUAACGUGUGUUAGAAAUCAUACCUAGAGUUUGAAUGUUCUCAAACCUAAAUCUUUUCAUAGAAAAUAUCUUUAAACCUUGUGAUCUUCCACCCAAUGACUCCCUCCUACACCUUAGCACGUGAGAAUGGUAGAAUUCUCUCUCUAAGGAUGGAGGCUAGGGCUUUCUCUUUAUGGAAGACAUAAUGAUUGAAUUAAUUUAGUUUAUUGGGUCCUAAUGAAUUAAUUAGCUCUAUUAGGCUUCCAUUAAUUAAUUAGUCCAAUAUAGAAAGUUUAUUCAUAAGCUCUUGUGCAAUCUUGCAUUUUUACCAAAAUACCAUUAUGCAAGCUUAUGAAUAAGAAACUCAUUUAUCCCUUAAAUAAUCUUGAGCAAGACUAUUUGGACCUAUAGGAAAAUAUCGACUCCCUCAUAAUACAAUUCUGAUGUUGACUCAACAUUCCACUAAAAAUAGUAACUUGCACUUUAGCAUCCCAUGUAUUACAUCAAGAUUUCCUUCAGUUCAUGACCUGCUAUCCACUGCUUCUGAACUCUCCAUGAACACGUAUUCGUAAUUUAACAAGUUAGAUGCUAUCAACCUCUCAAGAUUAUCUCUAUAAUACUUAAGUCUUAGACCAUCCUAUUAUGUGAUCAACUAGCAUACUCUAGCUUAACAUAAACAUAUGUCAAAUUCUACUAAAUUAAUUACUACGAUGCUAUAGAUUUCAUGAUCAUAAGUCUAUAGGAUCACCCCAAGGAGACAUAUUGUCCCAAACCUAUGAAAUAUCAUGGUGCUUAUUUUGAGAAUACCUAUUAUCACCUACCUUAAACAAAAGUGACCAAAUCCAUAAGGAAUAUAUGACCACUUUCAAUCUCACCUUAGUUCAAAACUACUAAAGACUUUAGCACUAGCUCAAUAUUCUUUUAAGGUUAAAAAUUCAUGUAAUAUACUAACUUGGUGAAAUCAUGACUUCCCGAUAACCAAUGUCAUGACUCACCAUAGGUCGUAUCCAAUGAGUAACCAUACAAAUUAGUGCAUUCACCAUAGGAAACCCAUCAAGACAACCAAGAUAAGUUAUCCCUUCAAUUAGGAGGUAGAGAGUACUAUAACCUUAGAUGAAUUGUCUAAGUCUAUGAAUUAGUUGUGUACUAAUCAUCAAUUUGCAAGGAACUUAUACUUAGAUUUUUUUUGUGUAACUUUUAAUUUACCUAAUUCAUGUAUAAUGCAAGUGGUAUAAAUCACAAUGCUCAAAUAAAAUUAAUGCAAUUAACAAAUAGAAUAGUGGAAACUCAAGUAUAACUUUGUUACAUCAUAUCUUGCUUUUAAAGGCUCUAUCCUAACACUUUGGAUAUCAAAAACCCUCUAAAUAGGGAUGUGACCAACAAUUGUCACUUAUUACGCUAGUUUGUAAUGGAAAAAUUCAAGAAAAAACUCUUUAAAAGUUGUCCAUAAGGAAUGUUUCAAAUCUAGAAAAUUUUCAAUCCUUAAAAAAUCAAUGAUUUUGACCCAAAUUUUCAACCAUUUAAAGCCCAAAUUCUAGCCCAAUUUCAUCCAAAAACAUAAGCCAAACCUUGGCUAUGAAGACCAAAAAACUAGUAGCCCAUAGCUAUUAUGGUGCCCUCAAAUCGACUAAAACUCCAUUUCGAAUUGGAAGUGUCCAUCUCAAAUUCAACAUUACCUUUUACACAAUCUCACUUCAAUUAGAUAUAUCUCUCUCAUUUGAACUUCAAUUUGAGAAUCAUUUAAGGUGUUAGGUUUCUAACUUCUUAAGCUUCAAAUUCAUAUAUAAUAUGCCCUAUGAAACUCAUAAGAGCCUAUAUUGUAAUUCUAAUUUGGGGUUGAUAUAGGACAAAAAAUGCAACAACUUGCAAUUGUUAUGGUUCAAUCAUAGAUGCAACUGCCACUCUCCUCUCCUCUUUUGCUUUAAUUUUGAUGAAAAAAAUUCCAUCAUUUUUUUAGCCUAUGUCUCCAAAAUUGGUCCUUGGUUUAUUCUGUAAUAAAAGAUGCUAGCUUGAUUACCAUCAAAUUAGAUUUGACCUCUCUAUGGAACAAGCCUACAUAGAUGCAUGCUAAGCUUGGUUUUUACAUCAAAAAAUAAAAACCCUAGGCUCCUAAAAUGGAACUUACAACCAUUAUAUGGGAAAAUUAAAAUUUUAGAAGAGAACAAAAACCCUACACUUCUAUAAUGGGGCAUACAACCUAAUCUAUAAACUUUUAAAAGAGAAAGUCAUUUCAUUCCAUCAUAUGAAUUAAAGGAAAGUCAUACAUGCAACCUAAUGCCCAUUUGAUUUAGUAAUCAUUGUAAAAAUAAAUAAAAUUGGUACACCCUAUAAUAUAAUAGAUCUAAGCAUGUAAAAUAAAAAAUUUGUUUUAAUACCACAUUGUUGGCAUCUCAAAUCUAGUACAGCAGAAGCCAUAACAAAUUUAAAAUUGAAUCUUUAAGAUUCAAAAACCAUACCUUUGAGUUUGAACGUUCCCAAGCCCUACUUUUCCAAUUUGGAGAAGUUCUUUAAGGCCUUGUGUGU